rnacentral:rRNA from 1 species
CCUACGGGCGGCAGCAGUGAGGAAUAUUGGUCAAUGGCCGUAAGGCUGAACCAGCCAAGUAGCGUGAGGGAAGACUGCCCUAUGGGUUGUAAACCUCUUUUAUGCGGGGAUAAAGGUGUCCACGUGUGGGAUUUUGUAUGUACCAUAUGAAUAAGGAUCGGCUAACUCCGUGCCAGCAGCCGCGGUAAUACGGAGGAUCCGAGCGUUAUCCGGAUUUAUUGGGUUUAAAGGGAGCGUAGGUGGAUUGUUAAGUCAGUUGUGAAAGUUUGCGGCUCAACCGUAAAAUUGCAGUUGAAACUGGCAGUCUUGAGUACAGUAGAGGUGGGCGGAAUUCGUGGUGUAGCGGUGAAAUGCUUAGAUAUCACGAAGAACUCCGAUUGCGAAGGCAGCUCACUGGACUGCAACUGACACUGAGGCUCGAAAGUGUGGGUAUCAAACAGGAUUAGAUACCCGAGUAGUC